UACGUAGGGAGCGAGCGUUGUGCGGAUUCAUUGGGCGUAAAGAGCUCGUAGGCGGCUUGAUAAGUCGGAUGUGAAACCUCCAGGCUCAACCUGGAGUCGCCAUCCGAUACUGUCAUAGCUAGAGUCCGGUAGGGGCCCACGGAACUCCUGGUGUAGCGGUGAAAUGCGCAGAUAUCAGGAAGAACACCAGUGGCGAAGGCGGUGGGCUGGGCCGGUACUGACGCUGAGGUGCGAAAGCGUGGGGAGCAAACAGG
rnacentral:rRNA from 1 species